rnacentral:rRNA from 1 species
AUUGAACGCUGGCGGCAUGAUUAACACAUGCAAGUCGAACGGUAACAGGCCGCAAGUUGCUGACGAGUGGCGAACGGGUGAGUAAUGCAUCGGAACGUGCCCCGUCGUUGGGGAUAACUACUCGAAAGAGUAGCUAAUACCGCAUACGAUCUAUGGAUUAAAGCGGGGGACCGUAAGGCCUCGCGCGAUUCGAGCGGCCGCUGUUAGAUUAGGUAGUUGGUGGGGUAAAGGCUCACCAAGCCAACGAUCUGUAGCUGGUCUGAGAGGACGAGCAGCCACACUGGGACUGAGACACGGCCCAGACUCCUACGGGAGGCAGCAGUGGGGAAUUUUGGACAAUGGGCGCAAGCCUGAUCCAGCAAUGCCGCGUGCAUGAAGAAGGCCUUCGGGUUGUAAAAUGCUUUUGUACGGAACGAAACGGCUCUGGUUAAUACCCGGGGCUAAUGACGGUACCGUAAGAAUAAGCACCGGCUAACUACGUG